rnacentral:lncRNA from 1 species
AUGGGAUUAAUGGGAUGGGAUGGGAUGGGAUAUUAUGGGAUAUUAUGGGAUAUUAUGGGAUGGGAUGGGAUGGAUGGGAUGGGAUGGAUUAAUGGGAUGGGAUGGGAUGGAUGGGAUAUGGGAUAUGGGAUAUUAUGGGAUGGGAUGGAUGGGACGGGACGGGAUGGGAUAUGGGAUAUUAUGGGAUAUUAUGGGAUGGGAUGGGAUAUGGGAUAUUAUGGGAUAUUAUGGGAUGGGAUGGGAUAUGGGAUAUUAUGGGAUAUUAGGGGAUAUUAUGGGAUAUUAUGGGAUAUUAUGGGAUGGGAUAUGGGAUAUUAUGGGAUAUUAUGGGAUGGGAUGGGAUAUGGGAUAUUAUGGGAUAUUAUGGGAUAUUAUGGGAUAUUAUGGGAUAUUAUGGGAGAUUAUGGGAUGUAUAUGGGAUUUAUGGGAUAUUAUGGAUAUAUAUGGGAUGGGAUGGGAUGGACUAUUAUGGGGAUGGAAUGGCAUGGGAUGGAUAUUAUGGCGAUAUUAUGGGAUGGGAUGGGAUGGGAUAUUAUGGGAUGGAAUGGAUGGGAUGGGAUAUUAUGGGAUAUUAUGGGAUGGGAUGGGGUGGGAUAUUAUGGGAUGGGAUGGGAUGGGAUGGGAUGGAUGGAUGGAUGGAUGGGAUGGGAUGGCAUGGCAUGGCAUGGCAUGGGAUGGAUGGGAUGGAUGGGAUGGGAUAUUAUGGGAUAUUAUGGGAUGGGAUGGGAUGGGAUGGGAUGGGGUGGGAUGGGAUAUUAUGGGAUGGGAUGUGCACACAUAGAACGGGGCUACAGCUCGUGGUUUGAUGAAGCCCGAUACGUUGUUGUGAGCUCAGCCCCGUGGGGACGGAGCAGUCCAAGUGAUGGAGGAACGCAGCCCCACGGCAGCGAACCGACGGGGGGGAUGGAGGGGAUGGAGAGCACGGUGUGGGAUGGCAGCACCACACACAGCUCCACACACAGGGACACACACGGAUCCCGUGGGCACGAAAUAAAGCAGCUGAUGGCACAGACACGGGGAGCGGCACGUCUGUGGGGCGCCCGAGAGCGGCGGUGUGGCAAUGAGGACGGGAGGGCUGGGGUCGGGCUGGGGGUCUUAGAGGGUGUUAACAACCGGAACGACCCCGUGUGUCCAUGGGGUUGUGGUACCAGUUGGGAGGCGGAUCCCGGAGCUGAAGCACGGGGAUGGCGAUGGUCGCGCUGGGGGGUCGCUGGGAGCUGCCCCCUCCACCCCCCCCCGGUUGCGGGUAACGGGCCGCGCCUCGGUGCCGUUCGCUCAGCAACCCCUGUCCGGUGGUCGCCCAUUGGCAGCGGGGGAAAUUCCCCCCCGCCCCGCGCCCAAUGGGCCGGUGGGGGGCGGCGCCUCCCAUUGACAGAACCGGCGCGGCCGUGUUUACCGGGGGCGGGGCGGGGCGGCCGCCGCUGCCGCUAUAAGAGCGGUACCGGGGGGCGAAAGGGGCGUGUGGCUUUAAGACUGCCCGCGUCGCCCCGGAGCCGUAACCCGCUCGAACCGAGCGCAUCCGCGGUGCGGAGCCGACCCGACCCGGAGCAUCCCCAGGGCGCUGCAGCGCGUCCCCGAACCGCCGCAUCCCGGGGUCCCACCGGAGCCGCCCCGCAGCCACCGCCCCGGCGGAGCCGUGUCCCCCCGGGUCCCUCCGCGCCCCCCCGCGCCCCGCCCCGCCGCCGCCGCCCGUUCCGCACAAUGGGGGCGGCGCGGCGCGGCGCGUAG